AAAAAAAAUGUUUAUUGUCCUUCAGAUGGAGGAGCAGGAGGAGUGUGAAGCGAAUCUUCCGGCUGGUAUCCCUCUAACCGCUGCAACAGGCUCUCAGAGUAGCCUGGGAAGCAGCUGUUGAUGGCGUUGAUGUAUUCCUGCAGAACAGAGCCUGGCUCUGCGUCAAUCUCUUGGAUUUUCUUCAGUCCGCCGCUGGUCACAAACAAACGACGGGCCUUGCUGUCAUGGGGAAGCACCUGUUGAGAACCAGAGAGAUGGAUGUUUUAUUUCAGUCGCCAAGCGCACGAGAGGCAAAGAUUUGUCGGAGCGUUUGGAGUUGUCCUCCCCACCUUGCUGAACUGGCAGACGACGUGUUUGAGGAUGUUGCUGGGAGCGUCGUAGAGUAGCGGCUCCAGAGCUGAGACUAGGGUGCACUUCUGUAGGAUGUUCUUCAGCGCCUUCUUACUCUGAAACAUUCAACAAGGUUCGUCUCGUUUCCAACGGCAAGAUUCAGGCAUUUUCAAUGUACGUUUUCAAACAUUUUUCCUAGAGGUAAAAACAAUAAAAAUGAACUAAAA